rnacentral:misc_RNA from 1 species
GAUGAAGAACGUAGUGAAAUGCGAUAAGUAAUGUGAAUUGCAGAAUUCAGUGAAUCAUCGAAUCUUUGAACGCACAUUGCGCCACUUGGUAUUCCGAGGGGCAUGCCUGUUCGAGCGUCAUUAUAACCCCUCAAGCUCAGCUUGGUGUUGGGGCCUGCUGCACUGGCAGCCCUUAAAAUCAGUGGCGGCGCCAUCUGGCUCUAAGCGUAGUAAUUCUUCUCGCUAUGGAGUCCUGGUGGAUGCUUGCCAUCAACCCCCAAUUUUUCUAUGGUUGACCUCGGAUCAGGUAGGGAUACCCGCUGAACUUAAGCAUAUCAAUAAGCGGAGGA